rnacentral:rRNA from 1 species
AGAGUUUGAUCCUGGCUCAGGACGAACGCUGGCGGCGUGCUUAACACAUGCAAGUCGAACGGAAAGGCCCCUUCGGGGGUACUCGAGUGGCGAACGGGUGAGUAACACGUGGGUGAUCUGCCCUGCACUUUGGGAUAAGCCUGGGAAACUGGGUCUAAUACCGAAUAGGACCGCAUGCUUAUGGUGUGUGGUGGAAAGCUUUUGCGGUGUGGGAUGGGCCCGCGGCCUAUCAGCUUGUUGGUGGGGUAAUGGCCUACCAAGGCGACGACGGGUAGCCGGCCUGAGAGGGUGUCCGGCCACACUGGGACUGAGAUACGGCCCAGACUCCUACGGGAGGCAGCAGUGGGGAAUAUUGCACAAUGGGCGCAAGCCUGAUGCAGCGACGCCGCGUGGGGGAUGACGGCCUUCGGGUUGUAAACCUCUUUCAGUAUCGGCGAAGCUCCAGGAUUUUUCUUGGGGUGACGGUAGGUACAGAAGAAGCACCGGCCAACUACGUGCCAGCAGCCGCGGUAAUACGUAGGGUGCGAGCGUUGUCCGGAAUUACUGGGCGUAAAGAGCUCGUAGGUGGUUUGUCACGUUGUCUGUGAAAACUCACAGCUUAACUGUGGGCGUGCGGGCGAUACGGGCAGACUGGAGUACUGUAGGGGAGACUGGAAUUCCUGGUGUAGCGGUGGAAUGCGCAGAUAUCAGGAGGAACACCGGUGGCGAAGGCGGGUCUCCGGGCAGUAACUGACGCUGAGGAGCGAAAGCGUGGGGAGCGAACAGGAUUAGAUACCCUGGUAGUCCAA